AUUGAACGCUGGCGGCAUGCCUUACACAUGCAAGUCGAACGGCAGCACGGGAGCAAUCCUGGUGGCGAGUGGCGAACGGGUGAGUAAUAUAUCGGAACGUGCCCAGUCGUGGGGAUAACGUAGCGAAAGCUACGCUAAUACCGCAUACGAUCUAUGGAUGAAAGCGGGGGAUCGCAAGACCUCGCGCGAUUGGAGCGGCCGAUAUCAGAUUAGGUAGUUGGUGAGGUAAAGGCUCACCAAGCCGACGAUCUGUAGCUGGUCUGAGAGGACGACCAGCCACACUGGGACUGAGACACGGCCCAGACUCCUACGGAGGCAGCAGUGGGGAAUUUUUGGGACAAUGGGCGCAAGCCUGAUCCAGCAAUGCCGCGUGCAGGAUGAAGGGCCUUCGGGUUGGUUAAAC
rnacentral:rRNA from 1 species